rnacentral:rRNA from 1 species
GGGUUGUGAGGUUAAGCGACUAAGCGUACACGGUGGAUGCCCUGGCAGUCAGAGGCGAUGAAGGGCGUGCUAAUCUGCGAUAAGCGCCGGUAAGGUGAUAUGAACCGUUAUAACCGGCGAUACCCGAAUGGGGAAACCCAGUGUGACUCGUCACACUAUCAUUAACUGAAUCCAUAGGUUAAUGAGGCGAACCGGGGGAACUGAAACAUCUAAGUACCCCGAGGAAAAGAAAUCAACCGAGAUUCCCCCAGUAGCGGCGAGCGAACGGGGAGGAGCCCAGAGCCUGAAUCAGCAUGUGUGUUAGUGGAAGCGUCUGGAAAGGCGCGCGAUACAGGGUGACAGCCCCGUACACAAAAGCGCAUGUGCUGUGAGCUCGAUGAGUAGGGCGGGACACGUGGUAUCCUGUCUGAAUAUGGGGGGACCAUCCUCCAAGGCUAAAUACUCCUGACUGACCGAUAGUGAACCAGUACCGUGAGGGAAAGGCGAAAAGAACCCCGGCGAGGGGAGUGAAAAAGAACCUGAAACCGUGUACGUACAAGCAGUGGGAGCCCCACCACCAAAGCAUUUGCUGUACCGCGUUGACGGAGCGAAGCGA